rnacentral:misc_RNA from 1 species
GCCCAGCUUGCCCUGCCAGACAAAAGAUCUUCGGAGUGUCUCCCCAGUGCUCAUGGCCGCAAAAUAACUUAGAAGGGGGGAAACGAAACUAGGUUUCAGCAAGUGAAAAUCGAACUUCAAAUACUAAUUCAAUGGCAGGUUCUACUGGUGGCACCGGUUCUUCCAGUUCCUCACCGGUCCCUCCGACUCCUAAAAUUCCCGGCUCCUAAAAUUCUAUUGGCUAAGCCUGGACUGGUUACCCCUAGACCGGUGGUAGGCAAAUUUGGACGCGGCGGUGUUUGGACGCGGCGGUGCUGAAGACGAAACGGUGCCACAUCGGUCUCGUCUGCCUGCAAUUGGGUCUCUCAAUCUCCUCUCUGAUUCCUGGGAAUUCCACAUUGAUCGCUUUCUCCCUUUUCUGACUGAGAAUAUAGAUUUCACUGUGAUUGGGGUAAUUGGACCACCUGGGGUUGGCAAGUCCACCAUCAUGAAUGAGCUAUACGGUUUUGAUGCGGGUUCACCCGGAAUGUUGCCACCAUUUAGUAGACAGUCAGAAGAUAACAGAGCAAUGGCAAGACAUUGUAGCGUAGGCAUUGAACCAAGGAUAUCUGCUGAGCAGCUUAUACUUCUAGAUACCCAGUGAAUUAUCACUAGUUUCUUCAAAAUUUGUUUAAGUGAUUUAGGCAAACCAAAAUUCACAACAUAGGGGCAACGCUUGUGGAGGUGGAAAAAUUUGGCACUAAGUAUUAUAAGGGACUUGAAG